AUGUUUCCAUCGAUGUUUCUGUACCUCUAUUAUCCAACUUGAUAGCGGUAGCUAGUCAUCAACAUGGUGGACAUCAAUUUGGAGUGUGUGCACCAGAUAGAGCCGCAGACCCAUUCCACGGGAAAGCAGCAGCGGGAAGCAUACUUGGAAGCUGCCCGCAUUCUCAUUGUGUUGUUGGAGAACGUGUUGGCGCAACCGGAUAACUCAAAAUUUCGCACCAUACGGUUGGAGAACAAAGCGAUCAAGGAGAAGCUGCUCACGCUUCCCGGGUGCGAGAGGCUGCUGGACGCCAUUGGCUUCGUCCGCGCACCAGACUCAAACUCCUUUACCCUACCCACCGGAGUGUCUCUGCAGCAGGUGCGGAAGUACCGGGAUGCGUUAAGCGAACGGCGCUCUGCCUGGCUCAAACGGAAUGUGGCGAAGAGUCCGCCCCAGCAAAGCUUCGUCAGCAACACGCUCUCACCGUUGUUCAUUAAGCCCUCGGUGGAGUAUCGUCAGCGAAUAGCCUUUCCCCGUGUGCUGCGUACUUCCAACCACUUCCUGCAGUCGCUGGAACUAUUCUCCGAUGCGGUUAUGCAAUACGAGGAUAGGCUGCUGCUGGCCACUGGCCGCUCACUGAUCCCCGUUGACGAGCUGACUGAAAAAGCAAGCGAGAAACUGAUAGAAAUGCAGGAGCGGAUUGCCCUAGGCGAGUGCCAGGAAAAGGAGCCAUGUGUUCGCGACCUGCUGCUCGUGGAGCUGGUCAACUGGUUUAAAACUCAAUUCUUCCAGUGGGUUAACAAUAUACCGUGCCGAGUGUGUGGUAGUGAGGAGAGCAAGCUGCGCCGCACCCAACGCGAGGGUGAUGUUCGGGUGGAAAUCAAUUUCUGCUGCGGCCAGGAGAAUAAGUUCUACCGAUAUAAUGACAUUUCCCAGCUCCUGGUCUCGCGAAAGGGCCGUUGCGGCGAGUAUGCUAACUGCUUCACAUUCCUUUGUCGAGCCCUGGACUACGACGUGCGCAUUGUGCACUCACAUUUUGAUCACGUGUGGUCGGAGGUGUACUCCGAGGCGCAGAUGCGCUGGAUGCACGUUGAUCCCUCCGAGAACGUUGUUGAUUCUCCGCUGAUGUAUCAGCACGGCUGGAAACGUCACAUCGACUAUGUGUUCGCCUAUUCGCGAGACGACAUCCAAGAUGUAACUUGGCGCUACACGAACGACCACCAAAAGAUCCUACAGUGGCGAAAACUUUGCACUGAAAAGGAAAUAGUGCAAGCGCUACAGGAAAUUCGCACCAAGCGGCGAAGCAAUUGCACCGCAGAAAGGAAAAUUUUCCUCGGCUACCGCGACAUGUGCGAAGUCAUCGGCAUGACUGUAGAUCGCAAACCAACAGAGAACGAGCUAAAGGGCAGGAGUUCCGGUAGUCUAUCUUGGCGACAGUCACGGGGAGAGCACACUUUCACCAACAUUUUUGUUUUUAACCUGAAUAAAACUGAGCUGCAAAAACGUCAACUUAAUUUGCGUUACAGCUGCGCGACAGACACAUACGAACGGUAUGUCAAAGAUGAAAGAGGCGUCACAAUUCUAAGCACUUAUAAAAGUUGGCAAAAGGCGCAAUUUUCUUCAAAAAACAUUUUUCGCAAAGUUGAACACGAUUGGAAAAUGGCCUAUCUGGCAAGACUUGAGAAUACUGAAGAUGGGGAAAUUGUUUGGAAGUUCGACUUCAGCAAGACCAAUCUAAAAGUUAAGUUCUACAACUUGGUUUUUGAGACAAAAACAUUUGGAGACGGUAAAAUCGAAGUAACCGUUGAACCUAUUGAUGGAAGCAGUUCGGUAGAAAAUGGAAAUGGGUUCCAAAUUGUGGCAAAGCUUACUGGUGGUAAGGGCGAUGUGGCGUGGCAGCAUACCCAACUCUUCAGGCAGAGUCUAAAUUCCCGAAACUACCCCUUCGAAUUGGAGGUAGAACUACACUGAAGUCUACUGAAAAACUAUUCCAAAAUCACAGUAUGAUUGUAAAUAAGCAAGUACGAUUCCUAGUCUGGAUGAAAUUGUGAAGAAUACAAAGUAAUGGAUAAUUAAUGAUAAACGUAAGAUUAUGGCAAUGUAAUGCUACUUCAAGCCCCAUGUCCUAAACAUAAAAUUGAAAUGAAAGAAGAGUUGCCGGCCCUAUGAUGUAUGUGUAAAAAAUUAAUGAUGUUUGAUGAAAAAUAAUUAAACAUCCGACUAAAUAAAUGCCUUUUAGCAUGUUUCAAAAUUCUGCAAGAAAAUAAAAUAAAAUAUGCUCAUA